AUCAUUAGAGCAAAAGCAACCGUUACAUUCCUAAUUUGUGCAUGUUUUUCUUCCUCCUUCUUGAACAGAAUGGAAGAUUACCUUGUGAAAACUGAAUGAAGUUCUGCAAAACGCAAGGAGCUGCCAUUCUCCAUAGAAGGGAUUCUGAUUCAAGAAGGUUGAGGAAAAUUCUCUGAAUAAUAACCACUACAUAAGGUUUGGAAAGAGAUUGUACCUGUGAUUUCACUGAUUUCAGGAACUCUUUCUACCAACAUAGAUAGGGCACCUUCUCUAUAACACAUAGUCUUAGUUUUCCAGGGUCUCAUAACUAAUAUGUGUCAUAGGCAGGACUGGAACCCACCUCUCAAGACCAGCUCUUUGUCCACGAGGCAACACUGCCUCUUGUGAAACUAGAUAGGUCUCCUUUGGCAGUCUAAAAAGCGGCAAAUGUUUCUAUGCAACAGAGUUCAUGGAAGAAUCAGAUGCAAAAU
rnacentral:lncRNA from 1 species